AGAGUUUGAUUCUGGCUCAGAUUGAACGCUGGCGGCGUGCUUAACACAUGCAAGUCGAACGUGAAAGUCCUUCGGGAUGAGUAAAGUGGCGCACGGGUGAGUAACGCGUGGAUAAUCUACCCUUAAGAUGGGGAUAACGGCUGGAAACGGUCGCUAAUACCGAAUACGCUCCCGAUUUUAUCAUUGGGGGGAAAGAUGGCCUCUGCUUGCAAGCUAUCGCUUAAGGAUGAGUCCGCGUCCCAUUAGCUAGUUGGCGGGGUAACGGCCCACCAAGGCAACGAUGGGUAGCCGGUCUGAGAGGAUGACCGGCCACACUGGAACUGGAACACGGUCCAGACUCCUACGGGAGGCAGCAGUGGGGAAUAUUGCGCAAUGGGGGAAACCCUGACGCAGCAACGCCGCGUGAUUGAAGAAGGCCUUCGGGUUGUAAAGAUCUUUAAUCAGGGACGAAACAAAUGACGGUACCUGAAGAAUAAGCUCCGGCUAACUACGUGCCAGCAGCCGCGGUAAUACGUAGGGAGCAAGCGUUGUCCGGAUUUACUGGGUGUAAAGGGUGCGUAGGCGGCUUUGCAAGUCAGAUGUGAAAUCUAUGGGCUCAACCCAUAAACUGCAUUUGAAACUGUAGAGCUUGAGUGAAGUAGAGGCAGGCGGAAUUCCCCGUGUAGCGGUGAAAUGCGUAGAGAUGGGGAGGAACACCAGUGGCGAAGGCGGCCUGCUGGGCUUUAACUGACGCUGAGGCACGAAAGCGUGGGUAGCAAACAGGAUUAGAUACCCUGGUAGUCCACGCUGUAAACGAUGAUUACUAGGUGUGGGGGGUCUGACCCCUUCCGUGCCGGAGUUAACACAAUAAGUAAUCCACCUGGGGAGUACGGCCGCAAGGUUGAAACUCAAAGGAAUUGACGGGGGCCCGCACAAGCAGUGGAGUAU
rnacentral:rRNA from 1 species